GGGUGAACACUUUGUUGGCCACAGUCCCGGCAGAAGUGCUGAGCUGGUGGCUGCGUUGCACACUGGGAGUGUUGGUGCAGAGGCCUGGGCUGAAGAUGGAUUUGAUGUCAGCUCCCUCUGUGUUUCCAUGGAAUAAUAGCCAGUGACAGUAAAAACCAUAAACACCGUGGGGGCUUUUGAAUCGGCCAGAUGGAAAGCUGUGCUGUGAUAGUAUCAACAGGCGCCAUGUUGUUUUUAAAUUGUGCUGGUGCUGCCCUCUUCUGGUAAUUUCUAUGUAUGUAAUGUAAACGUGCAUCAGGUGGGACCGACAAACCGAUAAACUCGAUAGUGAAGCUAAUGCAGUUCUCAGAAGAAAACAGUCAAGUAAAUGGAGAGUGGAAUAGCAAGUACAUAUUAUGUACCUGGAAGACCAGGUUGUCCCUACAAGACAAGCAUACAUGGAGCCACAUACAAGAAAGACCUGGGAGUCCCCUCUCGCCUGGCUCACCAUGUGGUCCAUUUGGGCCUGGAAGACCCUUAUCUCCUUUGAUACCAGGAACACCUGGGUGACCUGGAGUGCCAGGGAUGCCAGAGCUACCCUUUUCACCUGUAAAACACACAAUUAUACUCUGUUCAAAGAUUCUUGGAACGUGUAAAAUAGUUCCGGAAGGACUUGUGUUACCUUUACUACCAAAAGUUCCAGGAGGCCCAGGGAAACCCCGGCCAGAUCCAGGGAUGCCAUCCACUCCAGGUUCACCCUUCUCUCCAGGAGUUCCAGGCGGUCCCUGAAGGCCAUUUUCACCUUUAGGAAACAAAGUCCAGGCUCUCCAGGGGGUCCUUGGGGCCCAGGAACGCCAGGUGCACCUGGAAAGCCAUCUCUUCCUGGCAGCCCAUCCAAUCCUGGCAAUCCUGGAGAUCCAUCAAGACCAGGUAGACCUGCGUCUCCCUUUAGACCAGGUGCGACAAAAAUGUCACCAGGUUCACCAACAGCACCAGGAGCUCCCACCAACCCAGGUAGUCCAGAUUGUCCAGGAGACCCAGGGUCACCCUUUUCUCCCUUCCCUCCAACCAACCCAGGAGGUCCUGCAGUGAGAGGUCAGGCAUUAGAAUGGACGUCCCGAACUCAUAUAUUUACUAUAAAAGUAAGUAUCACAU